AAUGGAAAAAUAGAACAUGUCCUAUUAUUGUCCGCAUUACGGACAAGGAUAGUACUGUUGUAUUAGGGUCAAGCUGUUCCGUUCCCCAAAAUACGGAUUUCACACGGACGUCGUUCGUAUUUUUUGCGUAUUGUAAAAUAAA